UCCGUCGCCCCCGUCCUCGACACAACAAGGACCUCUCUCUUCCGUCGCAACUCUUGGCCGUCGGUUAGUGACUCUUGAGAGAGGAGCAUGAAGCUGGGUCACCUGCUGACAGUACAGUGGUGGGUGACGGUGAUGGCCAUGGCUCGCCUUGUAGACCGACCUACACUCCACACAGAUCAAGCAGGUGUUGCAUACGAGGGAAGGAUUCAUUACCUCAGUCACCACAACACACCACUGACUCACCACCACCACAACAACACAUCACUGACACAUCAUCACCACAACG